rnacentral:rRNA from 1 species
AUGCAGGCGCGGACGACGGAGAGGGGGCCCGCCGGCAACAGAGGAAGGCGAGGCCGAGCGGCUUGCAUGAUGGAGGCUCCACAGUAUAGACCUUGGUCAGAUCUUCCGCCAGAACUCUUGGGCCUUGUCCUCAAGCGCCUCCCCUCGCUAGCUGACCGUGUUCGUCUGAGAGCAGUCUGUCACCCAUGGCGCUCUAACAGCCUGCUGCAACCACUUCCCCUCCCAUUCCCAUGGCUCACCCUCCCUGAUGGCACCUUCUUCAGCAUCCCAGGAGGUGAGGUUCACCAGAUGUGUUUACCAGAUGGUGCUCGUUGCCAUGGCUCCAUUGACAACUGGUUAUUCCUCAUGAGGAGUGAUGACGCAUGCACAUUGAUGAACCCUUUCUCUAAGACCACAUUGGAGCUUCCUAUUCCGCUCUCAUUUUGGCAGCGUAUACACGGCGAAUAUGAUCCUAAGCAACUUUUGUACAAGUUGGUGGUACCCUCGCCCCUAGACAUAUCACCUGAUUCCCUUGUUGCGGCAUUGAUCAAGGAUGAUGAUAAUAUCGGUACAGUUUGCACUAGUCAGCCACUGAUUGCCACUUACUCGGUACAAGGCAAUUCAGUACAUCGCUUCUUUGAUGCCGCGUUGUUCGAUGAAAAGUUGUACGCGGUGUCUGUCUUUGGCCAGCUCUUCAUCCUUGAGUUAUGCAGAAACCUCGAUAGUAAUUCAACCAUCAAUCGCGUAAUCGACUCUUCGGGCGAUUUUCAUGGAGGACCAGAAUGCAUUUCCAGAGAGGUGGCGUUCACAUACAUGGUGUAUCUAGUUGAAUGUGCUGGUAGACUAUUGGUGGUGAAACGAUUCAUUCGUCGUCUGAGCCCUUCCCCUGAUGACAAUAUCUUUGACAAUACUCAAACUCCUGGAUUUGUUGUCCUUGAGGCAGACCUGCACUCCAACCCUUGCCGAUGGAAAAGGAUCAGUGAGUUGGGGGGACAUGCUCUCUUUGUUGGCCAGCAUGGCUCCAAGUCUCUGCCUGCUAGAGAAUGCAUAGGAUCCCAGGAGGAUUGCAUCUACUUCAUUUGUGACUAUCCCCAUCCAAAGUAUUUUUUCGAGUCCAUUUCGUGA